rnacentral:rRNA from 1 species
GGGUAGAGUAUACCAAGGCGAACGGGAGAACCCUCGUUAAGGAAUUAGGCAACAUAGCCCCGUAACUUCGGGAGAAGGGGUGCCUCUUAUUGUGAAUGUAUAAUGAGCAUAAAGAGGUCGCAGUGAAAUGGCUCUAGUGACUGGUUAACAAAACCACAGGUCUCUGCAAAGCCGAAAGGCGAUGUAUAGGGGCUGACACCUGCCCAGUGCCGGAAGGUUAAAGGGAGAGGUUAGCGCAAGCGAAGCUUUGAACUGAAGCCCCGGUGAACGGCGGCCGUAACUAUAACGGUCCUAAGGUAGCGAAAUUCCUUGUCGGGUAAGUUCCGACCCGCACGAACGGCGUAACAACUAGAGCACUGUCUCAACGAGGGACCCGGCGAAAUUGAAAUGGCUGUGAAGAUGCGGCCUACCCGCAGCAGGACAAAAAGACCCCGUGGAGCUUUACUGCAAUUUGGCAUUGAGUUUGGGUAUGGUUUGUGUAGGAUAGGUGGGAGGCUAUGAAGCUGGAGCGCUAGCUUCGGUGGAGCCAACGGUGAAAUACCACCCUGACGAUACUUAGACCCUAACUUUCGACCUUAAUCAGGCGAGAGGACCGUGCCAGAUGGGCAGUUUGACUGGGGCGGUCGCCUCCUAAAAGGUAACGGAGGCGCCCAAAGGUUCCCUCAGGCUGAAUGGAAACCAGCCAGAGAGUGUAAAGGCAUAAGGGAGCUUGACUGCAAGACCAACGCGUCGAGCAGAGACGAAAGUCGGGCUUAGUGAUCCCACGGUACUGAGUGGAAGGGCCGUGGCUUACCGGACAAAAGCUACCCCGGGGAUAACAGGCUGGUGAAGUCCAAGAGUUCAUAUCGACGACUUCGCUCGGCACCUCGAUGUCGGCUCAUCGCAUCCUGGGGCUGUACAAGGUCCCAAGGGUCGGGCUGUUCGCCCGUUAAAGCGGUACGCGAGCUGGGUUCAGACCGUCGUGAGACAGGUCGGUCUCUAUCCGCUGUGGGCGUAAGGGAUUUGAGUGGAGCUGCCCCUAGUACGAGAGGACCGGGGUGGACUGACCGAUGGUGUUCCAGUUGUCGUGCCAACGGCAUUGCUGGGUAGCUAAGUCAGGCAGAGAUAACCGCUGAAUGCAUCUAAGUGGGAAACUCGCCACAAGAUUAGAUCCCUGUGUUUCCGUAAGGAAGUAAGAUCGCAGAUAGACUAUCUGCUUGAUAGGCGGAGUGUGUAAGCACAGCAAUGUGUUUAGCUUAUCCGUACUAAUGAUCGAGGGCUUCUU